rnacentral:rRNA from 1 species
UACGGAGGAUCCAAGCGUUAUCCGGAUUCAUUGGGCUUAAAGGGUGCGUAGGCGGCAUAAUAAGUCAGUGGUGAAAGCCCUCAGCUUAACUGAGGAACUGCCAUUGAUACUGUUAAUCUUGAGUACAUUUGAUGUGGGCGGAAUGUGUCAUGUAGCGGUGAAAUGCUUAGAUAUGACACAGAACACCGAUUGCGAAGGCAGCUCACAAAACUGUAACUGACGCUGAGGCACGAAAGCGUGGGUAUCAAACAGG